GGAACUUACAGCCACUCAAAUCCUUCUUCUGGGAAAAAGGUCCCAUAAAGUGCUUCCCAACACUUGCAAGAAUGCAAACAGGAUUUGAAGAAGUGAAAAUCAGUCGUUUGAGCAUUCAGAUCAAACAGAAAAGAGGAGAGAAGGACGCCGAGGAUGUGAAAUCUUGUACAGACACCUGCAAAAACCAAAGCAGCUGUUUGCUGUGUUGCACUGGCAGGAGUGCUGUGCAGAGCAGGAGGAGUGGUUGCCUCACAAAGUUUUGGGCUUGUGAGGUACUGCAGUGUGAUGGGAAAAAUUACCACAAGCCUUUUUAUUCACACCAGCAUGUUCUGCAAGCGCUGUCUUUCCAUUGUGACAUCCCUUCUUGUGGCCUUGCCUCACUCAUCUCCACCACCUGUCACUACCCUGGCCAGUGCUGCAAACUGCAAAUCCCUGGAGGAGAGGGAAUCCCUCUUAUUUGCAAGAAGGCUUCUAUUUUCUGGUCUUGGAGUGAGUUUGGAAGUCUGUUGUUGCCUUUGUGAAGGAUUUUGUGACACAUCAGUCUGGAUUUCCCGGUUCUUUCGCAGAGCAUCGCAGGGACAGACUUUAUUUAGAUUUGCACUUGCAGUGUCUGAGCGAGCGAGGGUGGUACUUGUCAGCACGAUGGAAAUCUUUUCUCCUUGCUUGUGACACGCCCGCACAGUGGGCGUGCCGAUGUGCCGGCAGCGUGUGUCGUGACUGUCCGCAGGUGAUGCUCGUCCCUGGGCUGCGCUCCCCGUGCUGCGCUGCACUCCUGGCUGCCCAUCCCUUCUCCAAUGGAGCAACAGUGCCAACUGCUGGCUGCUGCUCCUGGCCUGCCAUCAUCCCCUAAGCUUCAUUCUGAUGCCAGCGCCGCCUAAAACACAUCAGCGUCCCCUCUGCUGACCGCCUGGCUAUUUAGCAAUGAUGUCUCCGUUUGUUAGUCCCUUUUUUCCAUACCAAACAAUAUUCUGUUGAGCUCAGGUAAGCCUCAGGUUACCUUUGCUGGAGACGUUUCUAAUUGUUUCAUGUUGGUUUAAAGCUGUGUGUCUCUCCUGAUCUCCCAGGACAGGCUGAUCCAAGAUGGGAGGAGGUUUCUGCUCGGGGUGCCAUCAAGUGCUGCCUGAAAAUUUUUUAAUCAUUCAGUUGUGGCAGCAAUAUGCCAGCUAUGUAUUUGGGACACUCUUAUUGUUAUAGCCACAAUGGGGAAAACAAGAUGGUGAUUAAUGUGUUUCUGCACAGAGUACAGAUAGCACUUUUACUCAGUAAAGAAAAAAUAAUGAAAGAAAAGGAGAGGGUAAGAAAAAGGAGAUAAUCUACAGCUUGAUUUUACUCGAAUUUCAGUGAAAUGUUUUAAUAGAAAAAAUAGUUUGUGUUUUGUUUUUGUUUUCCCAAGAGGCGCUUGUCUUGGAAAAGACAAGUUUGUUUCUUUAAAUGUUUCCUGUGAGAAGGGGGUUACAAUGUUUGCAGGAGGUGACGGUAGAGAGGACGCAUAUAUAUAGGCAGCAGGAAACCGGGGAAGAAAAAAAGCAUAAAAAGGAAACAAUUAAGAGAGUUUUUUAGAAGAAGGAGAAAGACAGUGAACGGGUAAAGCAAUAAACCUGGCAGAGAUGAUCA
rnacentral:lncRNA from 1 species